rnacentral:lncRNA from 1 species
AUGAUGGAAUUGGAAGAGACUCUAGAAUUCAAAUUUUCCAAAGCCUCUCACUCUACAGAAAACCCAACUUCUAUGUUAAAAAUCCUGUGUGGCAGAAACGGAGGAGGACACAAAGGAAAAGACCACAAGUGUGAGGCUGUGACUCUGCUGAACCAGAAAGAGGAUCUACACCGGUUUUUGUUCCUCUGGGUCCUUCAAGGACUGUCAGAACUGAAGACUGGGAGUGCUUGUACAGGGAAAUUCCAUCAUGGAUCAGCGUGGGUCAUCAGACGAAAUUUGAAGACCAUUAUUUUAAAAGCCACGAGGGAUGCUGAAAAAUUAUGGACAGGAAGCAAACAGACCUAGAAUUUGGAAUCUGCUGCCCCACCAGUACCAGUCCUGGGUGGCAGGUGAAGACGGGGGAGACAACGGAGACACCGCUUUCUAAGGAAUGAAGAAUCUGAUGGACUGCUUUACAACAG